rnacentral:rRNA from 1 species
CCUACGGGUGGCUGCAGUGGGGAAUCUUGCGCAAUGGGCGAAAGCCUGACGCAGCGACGCCGCGUGGGUGAUGAAGGCCUUCGGGUUGUAAAGCUCUGUGGGGAGAGACGAAUAAGACGUGGCUAACAUCCACGGCGAUGACGGUAUCUCCUUAGCAAGCACCGGCUAACUCUGUGCCAGCAGCCGCGGUAAGACAGAGGGUGCAAACGUUGUUCGGAAUUACUGGGCGUAGAGCGUGUGUAGGCGGCGUGAAAGCCCGGGGCUCAACCCCGGAAGUGCAUUCAAAACUGCGUGGCUUGAGUAUCGGAGAGGUUGGUGGAAUUCUCGGUGUAGAGGUGAAAUUCGUAGAUAUCGAGAGGAACACCGGUGGCGAAGGCGGCCAACUGGACGAAUACUGACGCUGAGACACGAAAGCGUGGGGAGCAAACAGGAUUAGAUACCCGUGUAGUC